GUACCUUCAAGCCUUGCUUGGUAUUGGGCAACGCGGUCCGCCGCGUGCCUCAAAUCGACCGGCUGGGUCUUCUGUCCCCUAAGCGUUGUGGAAACUAUUCGCUAAAGGGUGUUCGGGAGGCUACGCCGUAAAACAACCCCAUUUCUAA
rnacentral:misc_RNA from 1 species